rnacentral:rRNA from 1 species
GGCGCGAAAACUCCACAAUGUACGACAGUACGAUGGGGUUAUCUCGAGUGCAGUCCGAUAAGGGCUGCUUUUCCAUAGAGUAAUAUCCUGUGGGAAUAAGAGGGGGGCAAGACUGGUGUCAGCCGCCGCGGUAACACCAGCCCCUCGAGUGGUGGGGACUAUUAUUUGGUCUAAAGCGUCCGUAGCUGGCUGUAUCCGUCCCCCGUUAAAUCCAGCGUCCUAAGCGUUGGACUGCGGGUGAUACCAUACAGCUAGAGGGUGGGAUAGGUGAGCGGUAUUUCUGGGGUAGGGGCGAAAUCCUUUGAUCCCAGGAGGACCACCAGUGGCGAAGGCUGCUCACUAGAACACGCCUGACGGUCAGGGACGAAAGCUGGGGCAGCGAACCGGAUUAGAUACCCGGGUAGUCCCAGCUGUAAACGAUGCCAGCUAGNGUGUUGGGUCGGCCACGCGCCGCCCCAGUGCCGCAGGGAAGCCGUUAAGCUGGCCACCUGGGGAGUACGGCCGCAAGGCUGAAACUUAAAGGAAUUGGCGGGGGAGCAC